AACUAUAUAGUAAAAUUUCUUAGUUUUAUAACUAAAAUAGUUUGGCAGCAAGCAAAUCCAUUCAGGGGAAGGUGUGCUGUAAAGGACGAUCCGCCUACUAAUUUACUUAGUUUCUGUUGGUGUAUAUCUGGUUUAAUAUUAUUGCUUAAUAGUUUAAUUUGUGCAUAAUUAUUAUUUAAGCCAAGUCUAUGUGCUGCUUAUCUAAGUUUUCAUGCGUUACUUUUAUAAAACUAAAUUUGUAAUAGUUUAAUAUUUAGGACUUGAUAGUAAUAUAAAUUUAUUUUGUUUAUGAUCUUACAAUAUAGUAUUAAU
rnacentral:rRNA from 1 species